CCCACACCAGAAGUUCGGUAGAGAGUCCUGCAGUGCUCUCUCUGUCGCUUACGCUGUCUCUUUAACAAAAUUUCUUGGUUCCUUCCUCCUCUGCUUCCAUCUUUCUAAGGGUUUUUAAUUUUCGGACUUCAAUUUUGAAUAAAUUUACGAAAUUAGCAUCGCCGCAACUCAGUUUCUUCGAUCGGAGAGUGAUCGGAGAAGUUCUGGAAACUCCUUCUUGAGGAUCACUUUUUUUUUUCUUUUCUUUCAAAAAAAUGGAGUCUGAUUCCUGGAGCUCUCGCCUUUCUUCUUCUUCAACCUAUUCGAGGCGAUACCAGUCACGAUCCGAUCUGUACGGGCACGAAGAGACCGACAGAGAUGAUGACUUGAAGGCGGAAUUUCUUUGUCCGUUCUGUGCUGAGGAUUUUGACGUCGUUGGACUUUGUUGCCACAUCGAUGAGGAACAUCCUGUGGAGGCUAAGAAUGGGAUAUGUCCAGUAUGUGCAAAGAGGGUGGGAUCAGAUAUUGUCAAUCAUAUUACCACACAACAUGGAAGUUUAUUGAAGGUGCAGCGCAAGAGGAGAUUUCGGAGGAAUGGAUCGAAUUCAACAUUUUCUAUAUUAAGGAAAGAGCUGCGAGAAGGAAAUUUACAAGCCCUUCUUGGGGGUUCUCAAUUCCUCAUUUCCUCAAAUUCAGAACCUGAUCCUUUGUUGUCUUCAUUUAUAUAUAAUCACUCUCUGGGUGAUCAACCUGCUAGUGGUGUGCAAUCUCAUUCUUCUGUUGAAGCAAGUUUAGUGAAGGAAGUGUCAAAGGAAGAGUCCUCAAAAGGCUCUUGAGGUAGAUCUCAACAAAGUUUUAGUUAGAGGGAUCAUAUAAUAUGGUUCCUGGUAGUUUCAUUCUGUGAAAUGUCCAGCCCUUGUUAUCAGACAAGGAUCAGGAGGAGAAAGCUAGGAAGUGUGAGUUUGUUCAAGGAUUACUGCUGUCUACUAUUUUCGAUGACUUGUGAACCAAAAGGGUGCUUAGCAGAUAGAACCUGGAGCCGAAGUAUCAGAAGAUGUUGAAGGCGAUGCUAAUUGGUAAUAGUUAGGUCGGAAGGACUAAGAAUUAAUAAUUUGUUGUAUUUAGAGGUUCUGUGUAUAAUGAAAGAUGGAAACAAGUUCAACUUUUGUUCUUGCUUUGUAUACAAUCUUAUAUAAAGUAAUAUUUAUUUAGUUGCA